UCCUACGGGGGGCAGCAGUGGGGGAUAUUGCACAAUGGGGGGAACCCUGAUGCAGCGACGCCGCGUGGGCGAUGGAGCGCCUCGGCGCGUAAAGCCCUAUCAGCAGGGAAGAAGAUGACGGUACCUGACUAAGAAGCCCCGGCUAAAUACGUGCCAGCAGCCGCGGUAAUACGUAUGGGGCAAGCGUUAUCCGGAUUUAUUGGGCGUAAAGCGAGUGCAGGCGGUUCAAUAAGUCUGAUGUGAAAGCCUUCGGC
rnacentral:rRNA from 1 species